AGGCGGUCCCUCCGCAAUGAUAGAUAGUGAACUCCGCCAGGCCCGGAAGGGAGCAACGGUAAUUAUCGACUCGUGUGCCGGGGUGUGGCUGUCUGGG
rnacentral:SRP_RNA from 1 species